UGGGGUCCCCUUCGGGGGCGCGCACACAGGUGCUGCAUGGCUGUCGUCAGCUCGUGUCGUGAGAUGUUGGGUUAAGUCCCGCAACGAGCGCAACCCACGUCCUUAGUUGCCAUCAUUCAGUUGGGCACUCUAGGGAGACUGCUGGUGAUAAGCCGCGAGGAAGGUGUGGAUGACGUCAAGUCCUCAUGGCCCUUACGGGAUGGGCUACACACGUGCUACUAUGGCGGUGACAGUGGGAGGCGAAGGAGCGAUCUGGAGCAAAUCCCCAAAAGCCGUCUCAGUUCGGAUUGCACUCUGCAACUCGAGUGCAUGAAGGCGGAAUCGCUAGUAAUCGUGGAUCAGCAUGCCACGGUGAAUACGUUCCCGGGCCUUGUACACACCGA
rnacentral:rRNA from 1 species